GAUGAACGCUAGCUACAGGCUUAACACAUGCAAGUCGAGGGGCAUCAGGAAGAAAGCUUGCUUUCUUUGCUGGCGACCGGCGCACGGGUGAGUAACACGUAUCCAACCUGCCCUUUACUCGGGGAUAGCCUUUCGAAAGAAAGAUUAAUACCCGAUAGCAUAAUGAUUCCGCAUGGUUUCAUUAUUAAAGGAUUCCGGUAAAGGAUGGGGAUGCGUUCCAUUAGGUUGUUGGUGAGGUAACGGCCCACCAAGCCUUCGAUGGAUAGGGGUUCUGAGAGGAAGGUCCCCCACAUUGGAACUGAGACACGGUCCAAACUCCUACGGGAGGCAGCAGUGAGGAAUAUUGGUCAAUGGGCGCUAGCCUGAACCAGCCAAGUAGCGUGAAGGAUGAAGGCUCUAUGGGUCGUAAACUUCUUUUAUAUAAGAAUAAAGUGCAGUAUGUAUACUGUUUUGUAUGUAUUAUAUGAAUAAGGAUCGGCUAACUCCGUGCCAGCAGCCGCGGUAAUACGGAGGAUCCGAGCGUUAUCCGGAUUUAUUGGGUUUAAAGGGAGCGUAGGUGGACUGGUAAGUCAGUUGUGAAAGUUUGCGGCUCAACCGUAAAAUUGCAGUUGAUACUGUCAGUCUUGAGUACAGUAGAGGUGGGCGGAAUUCGUGGUGUAGCGGUGAAAUGCUUAGAUAUCACGAAGAACUCCGAUUGCGAAGGCAGCUCACUGGACUGCAACUGACACUGAUGCUCGAAAGUGUAGGUAUCAAACAGG
rnacentral:rRNA from 1 species